rnacentral:rRNA from 1 species
UACGAAGGGGGCUAGCGUUGCUCGGAAUCACUGGGCGUAAAGCGCACGUAGGCGGCUUUUUAAGUCAGGGGUGAAAUCCUGGAGCUCAACUCCAGAACUGCCUUUGAUACUGGCUAUCUUGAGUUCGGGAGAGGUGAGUGGAAUGCCGAGUGUAGAGGUGAAAUUCGUAGAUAUUCGGCGGAACACCGGUGGCGAAGGCGGCAUCCUGGACCGACACUGACGCUGAGGAGCGAAAGCCAGGGGAGCAAACGGG